GUAGGUGGCGAACGUUAUCCGGAAUUAUUGGGCGUAAAGGGUGCGUAGAUGGCCGGACAAGUUAACAGUGGUAAAUCGAGGCUCAACCUCGUGGAAACUGAUAAUACUGUCUGGCUCGAGUGCAGAAGAGGUUAACGGAAUUCCAUGUGGAGCGGUAAAAUGCACAGAUAUAUGGAAGAACACCAAUAACGGCGAAGGCAGUUAACUAUUCUGUUACUGACAUUGAGGCACGAAAGCGUGGGGAGCAAAACGGAUUAGAUACCCGUGUAGUCCACGCCCUAAACGAUGAGUGCUAGAUAUUGGGAACUUGAUUCUCAGUGUCGCUAGAUAACUCGGUAAGCACUCCGCCUGGGUAGUACGGUCGCAAGGCUG
rnacentral:rRNA from 1 species